AUUGAACGCUGGCGGCAGGCUUAACACAUGCAAGUCGAGCGGUAGCACAGGGGAGCUUGCUCCCUGGGUGACGAGCGGCGGACGGGUGAGUAAUGUCUGGGAAACUGCCUGAUGGAGGGGGAUAACUACUGGAAACGGUAGCUAAUACCGCAUAACGUCGCAAGACCAAAGAGGGGGACCUUCGGGCCUCUUGCCAUCAGAUGUGCCCAGAUGGGAUUAGCUAGUAGGUGGGGUAAUGGCUCACCUAGGCGACGAUCCCUAGCUGGUCUGAGAGGAUGACCAGCCACACUGGAACUGAGACACGGUCCAGACUCCUACGGGAGGCAGCAGUGGGGAAUAUUGCACAAUGGGCGCAAGCCUGAUGCAGCCAUGCCGCGUGUGUGAAGAAGGCCUUCGGGUUGUAAAGCACUUUCAGUGAGGAGGAAGGUGGUGAACUUAAUACGUUCAUCAAUUGACGUUACUCGCAGAAGAAGCACCGGCUAACUCCGUG
rnacentral:rRNA from 1 species